CGCAAGCCUGACGGAGCAAGACCGCGUGGGGGAGGAAUGCCUUAGGGUUGUAAACCCCUUUUCUCAGGGAAGAAGAUCUGACGGUACCUGAGGAAUCAGCAUCGGCUAACUCCGUGCCAGCAGCCGCGGUAAGACGGAGGAUGCAAGCGUUAUCCGGAAUUAUUGGGCGUAAAGCGUCCGCAGGUGGCGAUUCAAGUCUGCUGUCAAAGCACGGGGCUUAACUCCGUAAAGGCAGUGGAAACUGAGUAGCUAGAGUGCCGUAGGGGUAGAGGGAAUUCCCGGUGUAGCGGUGAAAUGCGUAGAGAUCGGGAAGAACAUCGGUGGCGAAAGCGCUCUACUGGACGGCAACUGACACUCAGGGACGAAAGCUAGGGGAGCG
rnacentral:rRNA from 1 species